GGUAGUCCACGCCGUAAACUAUGAUCACUAGAUGUGGGCGAUAUAUUGUCAGUGUUUUAGAGAAAUCGUUAAGUGAUCCACCUGGGAGUACGUUCGCAAGAAUGAAACUCAAAGGAAUUGACGGGGGCCCGCACAAGCGGAGGAGCAUGUGGUUUAAUUCGAUGAUACGCGAGGAACCUUACCAAGACUUAAAUGUAUUUUGACAGGUUGAGAAAUCAACUUUUCUUCGGACAAUUUACAAGGUGCUGCAUGGUUGUCGUCAGCUCGUGCCGUGAGGUGUCGGGUUAAGUCCCAUAACGAGCGCAACCCCUAUUUUUAGUUACCAGCGAGUCAUGUCGGGAACUCUAGAAAGACUGCCUGUGUAAACAGUGAGGAAGGUGGGGAUGACGUCAAAUCAUCACGGCCCUUAUGUCUGGGGCUACACACGUGCUACAAUGAUCACUACAGUGGGCUGCCAUCUGGCAACAGAGAGCAAAUCCAUAAAGGUGAUCCCAGUUCGGAUCGGAGUCUGCAACUCGACUCUGUGAAGUGGGAUUCGCUAGUAAUCGUAUAUCAGCAAUGAUACGGGGAAUACGUUCCCGGGCCUGGUACACACCGCCCGUCAAGCCAGGGAAGUUUGGGGGGCCGGAAGUCAGUAACGGUAAGGAUCUGCCUAGGGUAAAACAGAUAACUAGGGCUAAGUGGUAACAAGGUAACGGUAGGGCUACCUGGUUACGACUUGGAGUCGGAGCCAGGAUCAAACUCU
rnacentral:rRNA from 1 species